GCGUGCCUAACACAUGCAAGUGGAGUCGACGAACCGGGCUUCGGCCCGGGGCAAAGCCGCGAACGGGUGAGUAACACGUGGGUAACGUGCCCCGAUGAUUGGGACAACCCGAGGAAACUCGGGCUGAUACCAAAUGUGCCCUCCAGCCAUAAGGCUGUCGGGGAAAGGAAGCUUCGGCCUCCGCAUCGGGAUCGGCCCGCGGCCCAUUAGCUUGUUGGUGAGGUAACGGCUCACCAAGGCGACGAUGGGUAGCUGGUCUGAGAGGACGAUCAGCCACACUGGGACUGAGACACGGCCCAGACUCCUACGGGAGGCAGCAGUGGGGAAUCUUGCACAAUGCGCGAAAGCGUGAUGCAGCAACGCCGCGUGGGAGAAGAAGGCCUUCGGGUUGUAAAUCCCUUUCAGUUGGGACGAAGCUUCGUCGGUUAAUAGCCGGUUGGAGUGACGGUACCUUCAGAAGAAGCCCCGGCUAACUACGUGCCAGCAGCCGCGGUAAUACGUAGGGGGCUAGCGUUGUCCGGAAUCAUUGGGCGUAAAGCGCGUGUAGGCGGCUCAACAAGUCUGCUGUGAAAGUCCAGGGCUCAACCCUGGAAUGCCGGUGGAAACUGUUGGGCUAGAGUCCGGAAGGGGCGAGUGGAAUUCCUGGUGUAGCGGUGAAAAUGCGCAGAUAUCACGAGGAACACCAAUGGCGAAGGCAGCUCGCCUGGGACGGUACUGACGCUGAGACGCGNAAAGCGUGGGGGAGCAAACAGGAUUAGAUACCCUGGUACUCCACGCCGUAAACGAUGGGUACUAGGUGUAGGGGGUUGUCGA
rnacentral:rRNA from 1 species